rnacentral:rRNA from 1 species
GUGUGUUUGUGCUCUUAAUUGAGUGCAUCAUUCUACCAGAAAUUUUACCUUGAAAAAAUUAGAGUGUUCAAAGCAGACCUUUUUGUGUCUGAAUAUUCGUGCAUGGAAUAAUAAAAUAUGAAUUCGGUUCUAUUUUAUUGGUUUUCGGAACUCGAGUUAAUGAUUAAGAGGGACAGACGGGGGCAUCCGUACUCUGCCGUUAGAGGUGAAAUUCUUGGAUCGGCGGAAGACGCGCAACUGCGAAAGCAUUUGCCAAGAAUGUUUUCUUUAAUCAAGAACGAUAGUCGGAGGUUCGAAGACGAUCAGAUACCGUCCUAGUUUCGACUGUAAACUAUGCCAGCUAACGAUCAGACAGCGUUCUCUACGACUUGUCUGGCAGUUUCCGGGAAACCAAAGCUUUUGGGUUCCGGGGGAAGUAUGGUUGCAAAGCUGAAACUUAAAGGAAUUGACGGAAGGGCACCACCAGGAGU